rnacentral:rRNA from 1 species
UGAGCAAUCUGCCCUUCUCUUCGGAAUAAGCGUUGGAAACGACGUCUAAUGCCGAAUACGACCUCCUUUCGCAUGAUCGGAGGUGGAAAGCUUCGGCGGAGAAGGAUGAGCUCGCGGCCUAUCAGCUAGUUGGUGUGGGUAAUGGCCCACCAAGGCGACGACGGGUAGCCGGCCUGAGAGGGUGACCGGCCACACUGGGACUGAGACACGGCCCAGACCUCCGUACGGGAGNAGCG